rnacentral:misc_RNA from 1 species
CAUUAGUAGAACCAAAUUGCAUUUUACUAUCAUCAUUUAGCGGGGUAUCAUGCACUUGCACCGUAUUUGCCUGGGAUUUAUUCUUCUUUUGUUUUAGUUCUUGAAACCAUUCUGGGUAACCAUUCAAUUUGAAGCAUGUAUCCCUCACGUGACCUGUUUUGUUACAAUAGUCACAGUAACAACUUUCUUUCUUCCUAGCAUCGCUCUUCUUGAAUUUUCCUUUUCCAUUUUCCCUUUCUUUUUUGUUAUUUGCUCCCUUAACUGCCAUUGCAACUUGAUCGGUCAUAUCCAUUCCCAAAUUAUAAACUUGCCUCUGCUUCUUAACACUCAAAACCAUGGAAUAUGCCUUAUUUACACUUGGCAAUGGAUCUAAAAGCAAUAUUUGGUUACGAACAUGAUCAUAGUUAUCUCCCAAACCGAUUAGAAACCGCAUUAUUUUUUCAGUGUUAUCCAGAUCUGCUAUUGCUUUCGAUACUCCGCAAGAAUAUGCAUCGCAAGUGCACACAGGGAAGGGUUUUAAGCAAUCAACCUCAUCCCAAAGCUUUUUAAGCUUGGUUAAAUACACCAUGAGUGGCAUAUUUCCUUGCGUAAAAGAGCUAAUUUCUCUUUUAAUCUGAUAAAUCAAUGGUCUAUUGCUUUGGCCGAAUCUUUGUUUUAAUUCUUCCCACAAUUGUUUGGCAGUCGUUGCAUGUAAGAAAGCUUGGCCAAAUCUUUAGAAAUUGCAUUGAGAAUUCAGGAAAUCACCAUGCAGUCAACUCACUUCCACUUUGCAAAAUCUGGCGAGUUUGCCGCAGGUUUCUUAGUCUCACCAUUGAUAAAGCCCAGUUUAUCCUUGGUUUGCAAUGCUAUCAACAUUGCAUGACUCCAAGUCAAGUAAUUUGUGCCAUUGAGUUGAGCACUUACCAGCAUCAAGCUGGGGUUAUCAUAGUUCUGAAGUGAAAACGCAUCGUCACCAUAUUGAUGAGCCAUGGUUCUGACUUCUUCUGUACGUCGAGUUUCUUCCGUGAAAACAACUUCAAGAAAGUAACCGUCACCAGAUCUCAGAUUUGAGUCUAGCUUCCUACCUGACAAAUGGGAU